rnacentral:rRNA from 1 species
CUCCCCGAAACUGAGCGAGCUACUCCAAGACAGCCUAUAUAGGGCACAUCCGUCUCUGUGGCAAAAGAGUGGAAAGAGCUUUGAGUAGAGGUGACAAACCUACCGAGCCCAGUAAUAGCUGGUUGCCCGAAAAUUGAGUUUAAGCUCAGCUUUUUAGCUUCUUAACUCACCAACCGUAUAAAACACAACCGAUUUUAAGAAACUAAAAAAGUUAGUCAAAGGGGGUACAGCCCCUCUGACCCAAGAAACAACUUUCACAGGAGAAUAAGGAUCAUAAUAACCAAGGCCACGUGUUUAGGUGGGCCUAAAAGCAGCCACCCUACCGAAAGCGUUAAAGCUCAAACACACACACGCCACUAAUACCGAUAAAUACAUCCUAACCCCUGAUCUUUAUCGGGCCUUUCUAUGCACCCAUAGAAGAGACUAUGCUAAUAUGAGUAAUAAGGGGCCAGACCCCCUCCAAGCACAAGUGUACAUCGGAACGAACUCACACCGAAGACUAACGAACCCAACCAAAGAGGGUAAUGAAUACUAAACCAAAAACAAGAAAAACAUUCACAACCCCGCCGUUAACCCCACACUGGUGUGCCUAAUUGGAAAGACUUAAAGAAGAAGGAGGGACUCGGCAAACCUACAAGCCUCGCCUGUUUACCAAAAACAUCGCCUCUUGCAAAACAACGAAUAAGAGGUCCCGCCUGCCUGUGACUAUACGUUAACGGCCGCGGGAUUUUGACCGUGCAAGAAGCGCAUCAACUUUUGGUU